UUACGGAAGGCAGCAGUGGGGAAUUUUGGACAAUGGGGGCAACCCUGAUCCAGCCAUGCCGCGUGCGGGAAGAAGGCCUUCGGGUUGCAAACCGCUUUUAGUCGGGAAGAAAAGGUCAUCCCUAAUAAGGAGGGCUCUUGACGGUACCGGCGGAAUAAGCACCGGCUAACUACGUGCCAGCAGCCGCGGUAAUACGUAGGGUGCGAGCGUUAAUCGGAAUUACUGGGCGUAAAGCGUGCGCAGGCGGUUCGUUAAGUUCGUUGUGAAAGCCCCGGGCUCAACCUGGGAACUGCAAUGGAAACUGGCGGGCUUGAGUAUGGCAGAGGGGGGUGGAAUUCCGCGUGUAGCAGUGAAAUGCGUAGAGAUGCGGAGGAACACCGAUGGCGAAGGCAGCCCCCUGGGCCAAUACUGACGCUCAGGCACGAAAGCGUGGGGAGCAAACAGGAUUAGAUACCCUGGUAGUCCG
rnacentral:rRNA from 1 species